CAAGCUCCUCACAUAUCAUCAUCCAGGGUACAGUCAUAUGCUGAUGAGGAGAUCCCAUGCAGGUGAAGGUGCUGCCCACCCAUGAUGCCAGCAAGGUGCGUGCAAGUGGAUCCGGCCUUAAAACCACUGGAGUGCCCAGCUCUCUGCCAGUGAAGUUCAACAUUGAUGGCAAAGAUGCAGGGACCGUGACAUGAGAGAUAUGGAAGGAUUGACUGAGGUGCAGAUACAGACCAUGACCAGGAGAGAAUGCUUCACCAGGACCAGUGAGAAGCAGGGACCAUCUGCAGGACAGCAGACAAACAACAGUGGGCUGCACCACUGGGC